rnacentral:misc_RNA from 1 species
UAAUACGUAGGGUGCAAGCGUUAACGGAAUUACUGGGCGUAAAGCGUGCGCAGGCGGUUCGGAAAGAAAGAUGUGAAAACUUGGCAGAGCUUAACUUUGAACUGCAUUUUUAACUACCGAGCUAGAGUGUGUCAGAGGAGGUGCGGAAUUCGCGUGUAGCAGUGAAAUGCGUAGAUAUGCGGAGGAACACCGAUGGCGAAGGCAGCCUCCCGGGAUAACACUGACGCCUGCGAAAGCGUGGGGAGCAAACAGGAUUAGAUACUCCUGGUAGUCCACGCCCUAAACGAUGUCAACUAGCUGUUGGGGCCUUCGGGCCUGGUAGCGCAGCUAACGCGUGAAGUUGACCGCCCGGGGAGUACGUCGCAAGAUUAAAACUGUGGUGAAUUGACGGGGACCUGCAAUGCUGCGGAUGAUGUGGAUUAAUUCGAUGCAACGCGAAAAACCUUACCUACCCUUGACAUGUCUGGAAUCCCGAAGAUCGGGAGUGCUCGCAAGAGAACCGGAACACAGGUGCUGCAUGGCUGUCGUCAGCUCGUGUCGAGAUGUGCCGGGUUAAGUCCCGCAACGAGCGCAACCUUUGUCAUUAGUUGCUACGAAAGGGCACUCUAAUGAGACUGCCGGUGACAAAAACCGGAGGAAGGUGGGAUGACGUCAAGUCCUCAUGGCCCUAUGGUAGGGCUUCUCACACGUCAUACAAUGUCGGGACAGAGGGUCGCCAACCCGCGAGGGGGAGCCAAUCCCAGAAACCCGAUCGUGUCCGGAUCGCAGUCUGUAACUCGACUGCGUGAAGUCGGAAUCGCUAGUAAUCGCGGAUCAGCAUGUCGCGGUGAAUACGUUCCCGGGUCUUGUACACACCGCCUGUCACACCAUGGGAGUGGGUUUUACCAGAAGUAGUUAGCCUAACCGUAAGGAGGGCGAUUACCACGGCAGGAUUCAUGACUGGGGUGAAGUCGUAACAAGGCAG